GCGUCUCAGCAGAGAGGAAGCCCGCUUCAUGUUAAAGUUGAUCCAGUUGUGCUGUUCUAAACAGGCCUUCUUCGCCUCCACUGUUGGAAUAUCUCUAUACCUCCCUAUAAUCAAAGGAGUCCUGCAGAGUGAAAUUCUGACUGUAAUAAAAUAUUAAAGAGACAUAUGCAUUGUGUUUUGUUCUAAAAUUUUCCCUACACUUGAAUCUAUUAUAUAACUCUCUUAACUACUUUGUGAUGCAUCGUGGUACAUUGAACUGUAAAGGUUAUGUGAAAUUUGUACUAAUAUUCAGCUCUAGAAUCCAGUCAAAUGUGUCCUUUUUUACUUUGAGCACCUGCCCCUUCAGUGGUCUCUGCGCGGCCCUGGUUGAGAUUAAAGUGAAGUUACAAGACGGGGUUGUUUUUUUUAACUUUAAUGUCUGACUAGAGCGCUGGAGUUUACUUGGAAAUUAAUAAUUAGCUUGUUUUUAAUAUUGAUGCUGGGAAUAUUGCCUAAUUAAAGAGAACAACCCUGACUGCACACAUGUUAAUAUGCGGGGGGGUUUUACACUAGGAUUUAAACAUUAAGCAACGUUAAAAUAUUGAAGGUCAAAAGAUUGUUUUAAAAACAUUUUUAUGGUUAAUAAAAAUCUACUUUCAUAGAAAUAUUAAAAAUAAACAGUUAACUUUAAAAUUAAGAUUUAAUGGAGGAUCAUUUAUAAACCUUAUAAAGGUGAGUAACAACAAGUUGAAAUAAAGAGGCGUUCAAAUGUGUGUAGACAAGAACAGGUGAGUCAAAAUAUUUUUACAAGCAACUGAAGUGAUGAUGGAGAUCAUAUGAAUAAUCGUGAUUAGUCGACAAUAAAAAUAAUCGUUAGUUGCAGCCAUAAUUCCAAUGACUUUCUGCAUCUUUGUUUUGGGUUCAAAGCCAACUCUUGUUGAUUUUGUGAAAAUGACAUUGGAACUGUUGACCAUUUGUUCUUUCAUUAUUUGUUCUCAGAGGCAUUUUGGCCUGGAUAUUUUCUUGUGGUGGCAUCCUAAAGUUUCUCAGCUGGGGAAGUUCUGUUUGAAAGGUAUUAUAUACGGACUGAUUCUGGAAUGCCGGAAAAACUCUUUCUUGGUGAACACUAUUCCAAUACUUGGUGGGGAA